CAACUUUCAGCAGUGGAUGUCUAGGCUCGCACAUCGAUGAAGAACGCUGCGAACUGCGAUACGUAAUGCGAAUUGCAGGAUUCAGUGAGUCAUUGAAAUUUUGAACGCAUAUUGCACUUUCGGGUUAUGCCUGGAAGUAUGCCUGUAUCAGUGUCCGUA
rnacentral:rRNA from 1 species